GAGUUUGAUCCUGGCUCAGGACGAACGCUGGCGGCGUGCUUAACACAUGCAAGUCGAACGGUAAUGCCCCAGCUUGCUGGGGUACACGAGUGGCGAACGGGUGAGUAACACGUGGGUGACCUGCCCCGCACUUCGGGAUAAGCCUGAGAAACUGGGUCUAAUACCGGAUAAGACCGCACCGUGAGGGUGUGGUGGAAAGUUUUUCGGUGUGGGAUGGGCCCGCGGCCUAUCAGCUUGUUGGUGGGGUAAUGGCCUACCCAGGCGGCGACGGGUAUCCGGCCUGAGAAGGUGGACGGGCACAUUGGGACUGAGACACGGCCCAGACUCCUACGGGAGGCAGCAGUGGGGAAUAUUGCACAAUGGGCGGAAGCCUGAUGCACCGACGCCGCGUGGGGGAUGACGGCCUUCGGGUUGUAAACUCCUUUCACCAUCGACGAAGGUUUCUGACGGUAGAUGGAGAAGAAGCACCGGCUAACUACGUGCCACCAGCCGCGGUAAUACGUAUGGUGCGAGCGUUGUCCGGAAUUACUGGGCGUAAAGAGCUCCUAAGUGGUUUGUCGCGUCUUCUGUGAAAUUCCGGGGCUUUACUCCGGGCGUGCAGGCGAUACGGGCAUAACUUGAAUACUGUAUGGGAGAAUGGAAUUCCUGGUGUAUCGGUGAAAUGCGCAGAUAUCAGGAGGAACACCGGUGGCGAAGGCGGGUCUCUGGGCAGUAACUGACGCUGAGGAGCGAAAGCAUGGGUAGCGAACAGGAUUAGAUACCCUGGUAGUCCAUGCCGUAAACGGUGGGCGCUAGGUGUAGGGGUCUUCCACGACUUCUGUGCCGUAGCUAACGCAUUAAGCGCCCCGCCUGGGGAGUACGGCCGCAAGGCUAAAACUCAAAGGAAUUGACGGGGGCCCGCACAAGCGGCGGAGCAUGUGGAUUAAUUCGAUGCAACGCGAAGAACCUUACCUGGGCUUGACAUAUACGGGACCGGGCCAGAGAUGGUUCUUCCCUUGUGGCUCGUAUACAGGUGGUGCAUGGUUGUCGUCAGCUCGUGUCGUGAGAUGUUGGGUUAAGUCCCGCAACGAGCGCAACCCUUGUCUUAUGUUGCCAGCACGUAAUGGUGGGGACUCGUGAGAAACUGCCGGGGUCAACUCGGAGGAAGGUGGGGAUGACGUCAAAUCAUCAUGCCCCUUAUGUCCAGGGCUUCACACAUGCUACAAUGGUCGGUACAGUGGGUUGCGAUGCCGUGAGGUGGAGCUAAUCCCUGAAAGCCGGUCUCAGUUCGGAUCGGGGUCUGCAACUCGACCCCGUGAAGUCGGAGUCGCUAGUAAUCGCAGAUCAGCAACGCUGCGGUGAAUACGUUCC
rnacentral:rRNA from 1 species